UCUUAUCUGUAAACAGAGGGCCGAGG
rnacentral:piRNA from 1 species